rnacentral:rRNA from 1 species
GUGGUAUCCUGUCUGAAUAUGGGGGGACCAUCCUCCAAGGCUAAAUACUCCUGACUGACCGAUAGUGAACCAGUACCGUGAGGGAAAGGCGAAAAGAACCCCAGCGAGGGGAGUGAAAAAGAACCUGAAACCGUGUACGUACAAGCAGUGGGAGCACGCUUAGGCGUGUGACUGCGUACCUUUUGUAUAAUGGGUCAGCGACUUAUAUUCUGUAGCAAGGUUAACCGAAUAGGGGAGCCGAAGGGAAACCGAGUCUUAACUGGGCGUUAAGUUGCAGGGUAUAGACCCGAAACCCGGUGAUCUAGCCAUGGGCAGGUUGAAGGUUGGGUAACACUAACUGGAGGACCGAACCGACUAAUGUUGAAAAAUUAGCGGAUGACUUGUGGCUGGGGGUGAAAGGCCAAUCAAACCGGGAGAUAGCUGGUUCUCCCCGAAAGCUAUUUAGGUAGCGCCUCGUGAAUUCAUCUCCGGGGGUAGAGCACUGUUUCGGCAAGGGGGUCAUCCCGACUUACCAACCCGAUGCAAACUGCGAAUACCGGAGAAUGUUAUCACGGGAGACACACGGCGGGUGCUAACGUCCGUCGUGAAGAGGGAAACAACCCAGACCGCCAGCUAAGGUCCCAAAGUCAUGGUUAAGUGGGAAACGAUGUGGGAAGGCCCAGACAGCCAGGAUGUUGGCUUAGAAGCAGCCAUCAUUUAAAGAAAGCGUAAUAGCUCACUGGUCGAGUCGGCCUGCGCGGAAGAUGUAACGGGGCUAAACCAUGCACCGAAGCUGCGGCAGCGACGCUUAUGCGUUGUUGGGUAGGGGAGCGUUCUGUAAGCCUGCGAAGGUGUGCUGUGAGGCAUGCUGGAGGUAUCAGAAGUGCGAAUGCUGACAUAAGUAACGAUAAAGCGGGUGAAAAGCCCGCUCGCCGGAAGACCAAGGGUUCCUGUCCAACGUUAAUCGGGGCAGGGUGAGUCGACCCCUAAG